CAUUGGAACCUGUGGUUAACUUUAGCUUGCGCUUGCAGACAAUUACCAUGACCAGUUGGUAAAAAAGAGUCACGUCUUAACGAUCACUGCGACACGAUAAACAAUAAAAUAAGACUUCAUAUACAUGUAUGUGUACAUGAUAAGGGUGUUGGUCCAUGCAGUAACGAAUCAAAACAUCCAUCCAGGUUCUUUAAUGUUAAAAGGUAUCCCCUUUACUUAAAGGACUGGACCGUUCAGAACUAAAUCCAGCUUGCUAACAACAGUAAAACCAAUGUUAUAUCUCGCCCCUGCAUGAGUAAAAAGAUUGAGGCAUGGCGGAUCAACGUAAAGACGAAUGCUUUAUAUAUAGACAACGAGUAUUUGUUGAUCAACAAAGUCAUGAGUCAUUUAUCUGAAUUCUAAACUGACCACAUUUAUGGCUUGACACCGAGCAGACAUCCAAGGGCCGAAGAAAACGUGGAGAAGUUCUCGAUACGAGGGGAAAAUAUAAAGAGAUUAAAGAUGAUAAUGAAAGCUGAAUUCUUUGUGGUUUUUUCGGCGGUGUUGCUGUUUUGUGCAGCAGGUGGAAAAGCAAUAGUUACAGGUGGGUUUUGUCAUAACUGUGCUAAUGAUCUGGAGCUCAAAGAUGAUUGGCCUUUGUGCACUGAGAAAGAAAACGCAGGAAAUCCUCUGUGUGAGACGCGUGCGAGCAGUGAGCCCGCGAUUACACGAAGGGACUCGGUCAUAUCACUGGAUACACUGUACAAAGGAAACUAUGGAUACGAGAAAAAUAACAUGGGAAGCAAAAACAUUUUUUUCUAACAGUCUUAUUCCAACGUACGCUGGUACACUGUCGCACUUCAAUGUACUCACUGAAAACGUAAAUUCUACCGACGCUUUAAAAUAUCUGCCCUGGCGUGGCGGAUUGAUGAGUAUUUAAAAGAUCGAAAACCCAAGCAAGAGGGAAUAAUACAACCUCGUUCCCAGGGCCUUCUCUUCUCGUUUUUUUUUUCAAGAUGGCGGCGCUCGAAGGGAAAAAUCUUCGAGCGCCGCCAUCUUGAAAAAAAGCGAGGAAAGAAGACCCUGGUAACGAGGUUGGGAAUAGUUAAAGAAACAUAAUCUUGGAUUUUAUUAAUAUGGUAUUAUCCAUUUAUUAACAACGGGAUUUUUUGAUCAUUUAAUUUACUAAAUCAAAAGUGUGGAAUCAUAAGUGAGUAAGGGGUAGCAUUUCUAAUAAACAUUUUUAGAACGGA